AUAUUACUCCCUCCGUCCAGAAAUACUUGUCAUAAGAAUGGAUGUAUCUAGAUGNNNNNNAGUUCUAGAUACAUCCAUUUGUAUCCAUUUGUGCGACAAGUAUUUGCGGACGGAGGGAGUAUUUA
rfam:Hordeum vulgare subsp. vulgare, WGS project CAJW01000000 data, contig: morex_contig_42538